rnacentral:tRNA from 1 species
GGGAAGGUGGCUCAGUGGUAGAGUGCUUGCCUUGCAUGCAUGAGGCCCUGGGUUCGAUUCCUCAGCACCCCUU